rnacentral:rRNA from 1 species
GGGUUUGAUCCUGGCUCAGAACGAACGCUGGCGGCGUGGCUAACCCAUGCAAGUCGAGCGCCAACGUACCCUUCGGGGUGCUAGUAGCGCGGCGGAAGGGUGAGUAACGCAUGGGCAACGUACCCCGAGCACAAGGAUAGACCGUCGAAAGGCGGCGUAAUACUCGAUAACACCCUCCGGACGUCUGGUCCGGGAGGUCAAAGGGUGGGGAUCCCGACUUGUCGGGACCUGUCGGCUCGGGAUCGGCCCAUGUUCCAUCAACUUGUUGGUGGGGUAACGGCCUACCAAGGCGAUGACGGAUAGCCGGACUGAGAGGUCGACCGGCCUCAUUGGGACUGAGACACUGCCCAGACUCCUACGGGAGGCUGCAGGGACGAAUAUUCCGCAAUGGGCGAAAGCCUGACGGAGCGACGCCGCGUGUGGGAAGAAGCCUUUCGGGGUGUAAACCACUGUCAAGGGCUGCCAAGCAAAUCCGCCUAAUACGCGGAGGCGUUGAGGAGCCCUGAAGGAAGCCACGGCUAACUUCGUGCCAGCAGCCGCGGUAAUACGAAGGUGGCUAGCGUUGUUCGGAAUCACUGGGCUUAAAGAGCACGUAGGCGGUCUGUUAAGCGCUCUGUGAAAUCCCUCGGCUCAACCGAGGAAUCGCUUGGCGAACUGGCAGACUCGAGGCAGGUAGGGGCGUGUGGAACUCUUGGUGGAGCGGUGAAAUGCGUAGAUAUCAAGAGGAACGCCGGAGGCGAAAGCGGCACGCUGGGCCUGACCGAUUCCAACCAUGAAUUUAUUCAUGGAAGGGAUCUUCCUGACGCUGAGGUGCGAAAGCCAGGGGAGCGAACGGGAUUAGAUACCCCGGUAGUCCUGGCCGUAAACAAUGUCCACUAGGUUGGGGUUCUAUUGACAGGGUCCCGGCCGAAGCUAAAGCGUUAAGUGGACCGCCUGGGGAGUACGGUCGCAAGGCUAAAACUCAAAGGAAUUGACGGGGGCUCACACAAGCGGUGGAGCAUGUUGCUCAAUUCGAUACAACGCGAAGAACCUUAUCCUGGGCUUGAAAAGCGCGGAUGCGGCUCUUGAAAGAGAUGUCCGCUGCCCUUCGGGGUGAAACGUGUACAGGUGCUGCAUGGCUGUCGUCAGCUCGUGUCGUGAGAUGUUGGGUUAAGUCCCGUAACGAGCGAAACCCUUGUCGCUAGUUGCCAGCGGGUCAUGCCGGGGACUCUAGCGAGACUGCCGGUGUCAAACCGGAGGAAGGCGGGGAUGACGUCAAGUCCUCAUGGCCUUUAUGCCCAGGGCUGCAAACGUGCUACAAUGGCCGGUACAAACCGACGCGAGACCGCGGGUGGAGCAAACCGGAAAAAACCGGCCCCAGUUCGGAUUGCAGUCUGCAACUCGACUGCAUGAAGUUGGAAUCGCUAGUAAUCGCGGAUCAGCUACGCCGCGGUGAAUAUGUUCCUGAGCCUUGUACACACCGCCCGUCAAGUCAUGGAAGCCGGUAGUACCCGAAGUCGCCUAUGGCGCCUAAGGUAAGAUCGGUGACUGGGACUAAGUCGUAACAAGGUA